rnacentral:rRNA from 1 species
CGCGUAGGUGGUUUGUUAAGUUGGAUGUGAAAUCCCCGGGCUCAACCUGGGAACUGCAUUCAAAACUGACAAGCUAGAGUAUGGUAGAGGGUGGUGGAAUUUCCUGUGUAGCGGUGAAAUGCGUAGAUAUAGGAGGGAACACCAGUGGCGAAGGCGACCACCUGGACUGAUACUGACACUGAGGUGCGAAAGCGUGGUGAGCAAACAGGAUUAGAUAUCCUUGUA